rnacentral:rRNA from 1 species
UACGUAGGGGGCAAGCGUUGUCCGGAUUUAUUGGGCGUAAAGAGCGUGUAGGCGGUCAGGUAGGUCCGUUGUGAAAACUCGAGGCUCAACCUCGAGACGCCGAUGGAAACCAUCUGACUAGAGUCCGGAAGAGGAGAGUGGAAUUCCUGGUGUAGCGGUGAAAUGCGCAGAUAAUCAGGAAGAACACCCGUGGCUAAGGCGGCUCUCUAGUACGGUACUGACGCUGAGACGCGAAAGCGUGGGGAGCGAACAGG